AUUGAACGCUGGCGGCAUGCCUUACACAUGCAAGUCGAACGGCAGCACGGGUGCUUGCCCCUGGUGGCGAGUGGCGAACGGGUGAGUAAUACAUCGGAACAUGUCCUGUAGUGGGGGAUAGCCCGGCGAAAGCCGGAUUAAUACCGCAUACGAUCUACGGAUGAAAGCGGGGGACCUUCGGGCCUCGCGCUAUAGGGUUGGCCGAUGGCUGAUUAGCUCGUUGGUGGGGUAAAGGCCUACCAAGGCGACGAUCAGUAGCUGGUCUGAGAGGACGACCAGCCACACUGGGACUGAGACACGGCCCAGACUCCUACGGGAGGCAGCAGUGGGGAAUUUUGGACAAUGGGCGAAAGCCUGAUCCAGCAAUGCCGCGUGUGUGAAGAAGGCCUUCGGGUUGUAAAGCACUUUUGCCCGGAAAGAAAUCCUUGGCUCUAAUACAGUCGGGGGAUGACGGUACCGGAAGAAUAAGCACCGGCUAACUACGUG
rnacentral:rRNA from 1 species